rnacentral:lncRNA from 1 species
UUAACCAUAAAGUCCUGUCUCUGGUAAAAGAAAACUCAAUAAACACAACGCCUAUUAGUCAAGUAGGAGGACUUUUCGUAUUUCGAUUUAUUCUCCUGUAUUAGCUUUAUCAAGUGAAUUAAAUACAACAUGAAACCCUUUUCUAGUACCGCACUAAUGAUUUGAGUUAAUUUUGCACUUCUCUCGAGCCUAAUGUCUCCCUACAACAAGAACCACAGUGUGAAGAUUAUCAAGGUUGAAUAGCUAAAGAGCAUAAGCUGAUCCGGAAGAUAACGUAAUCACCACAGUGGAUGGCUUGAUGCGCAAGUCUCUAUGAACUCUACGGUAGGAGUCUCGGAGAUGAUAUGUUAUGUCUCCCCUGGAAGCAUCUUUCACUUCUCUACUUCCAAGAUUCUUUGCCCGA